rnacentral:rRNA from 1 species
AGCGAACGCUGGCGGCAGGCUUAACACAUGCAAGUCGAGCGCCGUAGCAAUACGGAGCGGCAGACGGGUGAGUAACACGUGGGAACGUACCUUUUGGUUCGGAACAACACAGGGAAACUUGUGCUAAUACCGGAUAAGCCCUUACGGGGAAAGAUUUAUCGCCGAAAGAUCGGCCAGCGUCUGAUUAGCUAGUUGGUGAGGUAACGGCUCACCAAGGCGACGAUCAGUAGCUGGUCUGAGAGGAUGAUCAGCCACACUGGGACUGAGACACGGCCCAGACUCCUACGGGAGGCAGCAGUGGGGAAUAUUGGACAAUGGGCGCAAGCCUGAUCCAGCCAUGCCGCGUGAGUGAUGAAGGCCCUAGGGUUGUAAAGCUCUUUUGUGCGGGAAGAUAAUGACUGUACCGCAAGAAUAAGCCCCGGCUAACUACGUGCCAGCAGCCGCAGUAAUAC